AUAUUCUUGCCGACAUUUGAGUCAUCAAGUCCAUCGAACAACCCACUCAGAAUAAGACAGUUUUUCGCUUCUGCAUGAAAACCGUGCAACUUGUUCCGAGUACUCGUUAGACAAUCAUCGGAAAGACGAACAAACGAUUCAGAAAUCAAAUGAAAUCGAAUCGAUCGAAUCACAUUUUGCGUCUGAUGGGAGAAAAGAAAAAAAAUCGUAUUCUGUUUUCUACACGGUAGCGCGGAAAAACGUAAAUUAUAAAAAUAUUGAAAAGAAGAGAUUAGACACCGAACAAUAUGUAUUUCUUAUAUUACACGCGACCAAAUUGGAAAUUAAUGUCUGUCGCGAAA
rnacentral:misc_RNA from 1 species